rnacentral:rRNA from 14 species
AGAACGUCGUGAGACAGUUCGGUCCCUAUCUGUUGUGGGCGUUAGAAAUUUGAGAGGACCUGCCUCUAGUACGAGAGGACCGGGGUGGACGAACCUCUAGUGUACCUGUUGUGACGCCAGUUGCAUCGCAGGGUAGCUACGUUCGGAUGAGAUAAGCGCUGAAAGCAUCUAAGCACGAAACUCACCUCAAGAUGAGAUUUCUUUUAAGGGUCGUGGAAGACGACCACGUUGAUAGGCCAGGUGUGUAAGU